ensembl:lincRNA
CAUUCUGGCAGUUGAAUUAUCUCAACCAGCCUAGUUGUGUGUAUUUGAAUUGCUGUUUCCUCCUUCCUUGUCUACUUUUUUCCAUUUAGGUCUCCCUAGCUCCCUGGAAUCACUUCUUAUAAUUUACUACAAAAGAUAUUGGUCUCAGUGUCUGCUUUUAUGGAGAAUCCAGACAAGAUGGUUCAUACCAAAAAAUGAUCCUGAAGCCCACCGGUAUAGUAAAAUCUUGAAUUUAGGUAACCUGCAGUCUGAAAGCAAAAGGACCACACGACUGAUAAACCAGCAUUUGCAUUUGAUGGUUCUUAUUCCUGGUGCUGAACUUUCUUUGAAGAAAUCCAACUGAAUGAGCCUUAAUAAACAAUGGAAUCACUGCCCACAACUGUCCAUAACAGUCCAUCAGAGAAAGCCAAGCUGAAGAAACCUAUGUAUGAAGUCUCAUCUUGCUGAAUUGAUUUGAUGGGACAGGAUCCAGAGUCUUCCAGAGAUAGCUCAAACUGUGUGGACAGAUAAAUUUUGAAGCCGUCUUUCCUGGGGGUUUGGCCAUUGUGCCAUUGGGAAUUGGAGACUGACUGACACUUGGACUUCUGCUCUCGAGUGAUGGCCAUACUGAAGUGUGGGCUGCCCACAGAGUCACUCUUAUACAGGACAGUAUUCAUUGUAUUUCUUUACAUAUUGACAUAAAUGCUUUUAUAUUGGAAAAAUUGAAGUAUGUCCAGUAUCUUUUGGGGUUAGUUUCUGGGAUGAGAAGUGGAGAGAAAUAGCGAUAUGGUUAAUAUGGAUUACCAUCACUAAACAGACUGAAUGGAGCUGCUGUCACGUCCAUUCUCCUUUAAAUUGUUAUAUUUCCUGAAAGUGAUAUGAAUAAUAUAUAAUAUGCAAACCACGGGAUUGGAGAAUGCAAAGUGAAUGUAGUUUUGAUACAGGAAACCUUUACAAUAUAAGGGUUAGGACAUAGCUCUACAAAAUACAGUUUGCAAGAUGCUCUUCAUGCUCAGUCACCCAGAGCACUCGAUAACAUGUAGACUUCUGAGUUACCUCCAGGCUCAUGAAUGAGAUUCUCAGUUUUGUGACUUGCGAUACUGUAAGUUAGCCAGGUAUCUGGCUUCAAAGGAGGGCACUAGAAAGGGAUGGAGAAAACUUUGAACACUAGCAUAGGAAUGUAAGUCAUCAAAUCUUCUGCAUUUUCUAUGUAACACAUCAAUUUUCAAAGUAAACAUUUUCUAGUCAUUCCAAGUUUGGAUCUAAUGAAAGUCUGUCUAUGUAUCAAAUAAAUAUUUCAUUCUUGCCUCUUUCAAACUAGUGAAAAGGAAUUGUUUGCAAUGAUUGCCUUUUGCUAGAAUCAGCUGUCAUGGAUUAUGUUUGGCAUGUCAAAGGUCUUGUGAGAAUCAGCUGUCAGCAUGGAAUAGAAUUAUACAGUUGCUACAGGUCAAAGGAGAAGAAUGUAUUUUGCUCUUAGAAUUUUGACAUUGUGUCAAUGGUGUUAUAGCUAGUUAAAUUUAGCAAAAGUGAAGUUUCUAAGAAGAUCCAUUAAAAAUCCCUAAAACACUAAAAUGUCUCCAAGUUCUGAAAGAUUUAUUUGUGAGUCUAAUUUCCUUCAUGGUGAUAAUGAGAUACGACGAAGUCAUUUUGAGUACUAAAUUCUGAUUUAACAAAUUUUUGUGAAGACUUUAAGAGGACUCACACUUGAAACACUAAAUCUGACUUUUAUGAUAUUACUCUGGCUCUAGACACUACUGGACUGAUAAGGUUGAUUUUUUUCAUUGAAAACGUGAAAUAUAGAAGAUAAUGAGACUUUUUGAUCAAUGCCCAAUAAAGUAUUCAGAAUUAUGUGAGCUUUCAAUAAAUGCAAUACCAUGAAACUGCCAAUCCAGACUCACAUCAGUGGUAAAGAGUUGAAUGACAAUGCUCUCACUUCCUCUCUUGGGGAGGGGAUCCUCUUUAUUUGGAGGUAACAAAUUAACCACCAACAGGGUAACUUCUGAAUAUAUUUAAUUUAGAAGAAACAAUUUGUUAAAGUUUUAAAUUAAAUGAAUUGAAUUUAUUUGAAAAUUGAGUGAUUUCAUGUACAAACCCAGAUUUUCUGGAUUCAUAAAAAAUUGAAAAAAAAAAAACCAACAACAGAGCAUGAGCACAUUCUGCUGUAGCAGAACUUGGAGGAGGCGAGUUCCUUAGAAGCCAUCAGGUGCUGUCCAACAUGAACCUACUGCAUGCGUCUACAAUAGCAACUUCUGAGUUUGUGUUCCCUCGAAGACUUGAGACUCUUGUUAAAAUGAUCUGUUCCUCUCUUUUAAAUCUCUAGUGGCUUUCACUUAGGAUCUCCCUAGAUGACAACUUACUCUCUAAGAAACAGAGUCAAACACUUGACUACAUUCUGUAGAGAAAUGUGCAUACAAACUACUAGGGUGGGCAGUUACAGACACACAAAAUUUAUCCAGAAUUGCCAAAUAUGGAAGAAGUUUAUUGUGCUCUGAUUGGAAUAAGGACCAAAGUUAAUGAAAUGAAAUAUAGUGGGAAAAUGUAAACACCUAAAUGUAAAUGUGACUUCACAAGUUUUAUUUCACAAAUGUAAAUAUUCACAUAUCAGUUAAGGGGGUUGAUUAGAACUCCAUGCAGAGUGCUUGUCUAACAUACAUUAGGCCCUGGGGUUGCUCUCUAGCACUGAAAAAAAUUAAUUUCAAAAUUAAAAAUAUUUAAUUUUUUAUCAGUACAUGUUUGCGGUACAUAAAAACAAAAAACCAGAGUAUUCAUAGAAAUGAAAUGUACAGAUGGGGAAAUUAUGUUCUUUGUACUUUGUCAUUCUCAGUAUUGAGCGAUGAUCUCUCUGACGUGUUAAAAAGACAGGGAAAUGUGAGGACAGAUGACUUGGAUGGACAGGAGCCUAGGGCUUAAGCCGUAUUAAGGAUGAUAAGAAAGCCAUAUGUUCCAGUCAGAGGACUGAAGAUAACAUGGAAGCAAAAGAUAAGAGAAACAGAGAAGGUCUUUAGAUACUGGAAAGGCUCUGACAGAGCAUAGGGUGCCCACUUGUGCUCUGUGACUCCAAGGAGUCGCUGUUUUUUAAAUGUGAAUUUAAAUGUGAGAGAAAGUCGGUUGCAGAGUGUUUAACAUAGAGACAUUGAUCACUGCAUAAGGACAAAUACAUUUUUAUCAACAGAUGAAAUUUCAAUACUUACUAAGGAAAGAGAGAUAGAAAAGGGCCUAUUUAUAGACAAGAACAGGUCAUGACAAGAUACCUAAUAUUUAUUUCAAGAUGUUCAAAGUUCAUAAAUAAUAGUCAUAGAAAUAUUAGACAUUGAACAAAAUCCAAUUAAAAUUAAUUUGAAUGCUGUAUUUUAGAGAAACC